AACGACUCUCGGCAACGGAUAUCUCGGCUCUCGCAUCGAUGAAGAACGUAGCGAAAUGCGAUACUUGGUGUGAAUUGCAGAAUCCCGUGAACCAUCGAGUCUUUGAACGCAAGUUGCGCCCGAAGCCAGCAGGCUGAGGGCACGUCUGCCUGGGUGUCACGC
rnacentral:rRNA from 1 species